CUUGCACCUGAUUGAUAAAACAAUCGGAAUGAGUGGCGGACGGGUGAGUAACACGUGGGUAACCUGCCCAGAAUGGGGGGAUAACAUUUGGAAACAGAUGCUAAUACCGCAUAAUAGAUAGAACCACAUGGUUCUAUUUUGAAAGAUGGCCUUUGUGCUAUCACUUCUGGAUGGACCCGCGGUGUAUUAGCUAGUUGGUAAGGUAACGGCUUACCAAGGCAAUGAUACAUAGCCGAACUGAGAGGUUGAUCGGCCACAAUGGGACUGAGACACGGCCCAUACUCCUACGGGAGGCAGCAGUAGGGAAUCUUCCACAAUGGGCGCAAGCCUGAUGGAGCAACACCGCGUGAGUGAAGGAGGGUUUCGGCUCGUAAAACUCUGUUGUUAAAGAAGAACGUAUCUAAGAGUAACUGCUUAGGUAGUGACGGUAUUUAACCAGAAAGCCACGGCUAACUACGUGU
rnacentral:rRNA from 1 species